ensembl:snoRNA
CCUGCCACUAGUGCAAUCCAGUGGUGAGUUGAGACUAAACCCCAGUUUAGGAAACAGGGCUGUUCUUCAUAGGAUGGCUCUGUGCUGAAACCAUGGGAAUAGCC